CCUACGGGAGGCUGCAGUGGGGAAUAUUGCACAAUGGGGGAAACCCUGAUGCAGCAAUGCCGCGUGAGCGAUGAAGGCCUUCGGGUCGUAAAGCUCUGUCCUAAGGGAAGAAUACUGACGGUACCUUAGGAGGAAGCCCCGGCUAACUACGUGCCAGCAGCCGCGGUAAUACGUAGGGGGCUAGCGUUAUCCGGAAUUACUGGGCGUAAAGGGUGCGUAGGCGGCCCUUCAAGUCAGAGGUGAAAGGCUACGGCUCAACCGUAGUAAGCCUUUGAAACUGUAGUGCUUGAGUGCAGGAGAGGAGAGUAGAAUUCCUAGUGUAGCGUUGAAAUGAAUAGAUAUUGGGAGGCACACAAGUUGCGAAGCGAGCUUUCUGUACGGUAACUGACUUUGCGGCAAGAAAGCGUGGUGAGCGAACAGGAUUUGAAACCCUGCUAGUU
rnacentral:rRNA from 1 species